GCAAGUCGAGGGGUAACAGGGAGAAGCUUGCUUCUUUGCUGACGACCGGCGCACGGGUGCGUAACGCGUAUGCAACCUACCUUCAACUGGAAGAUAGCCCCGAGAAAUCGGGAUUAAUAUUCCAUAAUAUAACUGAAUCGAUUGUUUCUGGUUAUUAAAGCUCCGGCGGUUGAAGAUGGGCAUGCGUCCCAUUAGUUAGUUGGUGAGGUAACGGCUCACCAAGACUCCGAUGGGUAGGGGGCCUGAGAGGGUGACC
rnacentral:rRNA from 1 species